rnacentral:rRNA from 1 species
GGCGAGUGAAGCGGGAAGAGCUCAAAUUUGAAAUCUGGUGGCCUCAGGUCAUCCGAGUUGUAAUCUAUAGAAGUGUUUUCCGUGCUGGCUCAUGUACAAGUCCCUUGGAACAGGGCGUCAUAGAGGGUGAGAAUCCCGUCCUUGACAUGAACUACCAGUGCUCUGUGAUACAUUUUCAACGAGUCGAGUUGUUUGGGAAUGCAGCUCAAAAUGGGUGGUAAAUUCCAUCUAAAGCUAAAUAUUGGCGAGAGACCGAUAGCGAACAAGUACCGUGAGGGAAAGAUGAAAAGCACUUUGGAAAGAGAGUUAAACAGUAUGUGAAAUUGUUGAAAGGGAAACGAUUGAAGUCAGUCGUGCUCUUUGGAUUCAGCCGGUUCUGCCGGUGUACUUCCUUUGAGUGGGGUCAACAUCAGUUUUGAUCGCUGGAUAAAGGCUGGAGGAACGUAGUACCCUCGGGUAAACUUAUAGCCUCCUGUCACAUACAGUGGUUGGGACUGAGGAACGCAGCACGCCUUUAUGGCCGGGAUUCGUCCACGUACGUGCUUAGGAUGUUGACAUAAUGGCUUUAAACGACCCGUCUUGAA